CUAGAGGAAAAAUGCUUGGGUAAAGGAGUUUGGCUUGGAGGCUAUGUGGAAGAGCCCGAAUGGCACAAUUAGGAACAUUCUGAAUGGCACUGUGUUCAGAGAACCAAUCAUCUGCAAAAAUGUCCCAUAGAUUGUUGUAGAUAUGGAAGGAAGACCACAAUCAUAGGUGACUGCUAAUGCGUCAAGUGCCUACCCCAAGAAUAUAGA